AGUGAAAAUAAUAUAUUAACUAAGUUAAUUAAAAUUCGAUGUAGAUAUCCGAUUAUGACAGUAUUUGCUUAUGUCUUGACCAAUUCACGUGCCAGCAGUCGCGGUAAGACGUGUAAGAUAAGUGUUAUUCAUGUUUAACAGGUUUAAAGGGUACCUAGACGGUUAAUCAAACACUGUAAUGUAUUAAUUAACUAGAGUUUGAUAUAAGAAGGAUUGAGUACGGUGAGUGAAGAGAUAAAAUUCUAUUAKACCACUCUGGAACUGGUAAAGGCGAAGGCAACCUUCUAUGUAAAAACUGACGUUAAGGGACGAAGGCUCGUUAAAAAAAACAGGAUUAGAUACCCUGGUAUUUUGGGCAGACAAUGAUGAGUGUCAUAUGCAAGAUGAAUAAUUUUUUGUGUAUAAAUGAAAGUGUAAGCACUCCACCUUAAGAGUAACAUGGCAACAUGGGAACUGAAAUCAUUAGACCGUUUCUGAAACUCGUAGUGAAGUAUGUUGUUUAAUUUGAUAAUCCACAAAUAACCUUACCACAACUUGUAUAACUUUAGCUAAAAGUUACAAGCGUUGCACGGCUGUUUUCUGUCAAUGUUGUGAAACUGUGGUUAGAUCCAUUAAA
rnacentral:rRNA from 1 species